rnacentral:rRNA from 1 species
AUGAAUUUCUCGUCCUACUUCUUCUCCUCAUCCUCCUCGUCCUCGUCCUCGUCGGACAAGAAGUCGUCAUCUUCCAAGCGCCGGCAGCAGGCGGCGCAGCAGCAGCCGGACUCCAACCCGACGCGGUACCUCGGGGUGCGUCGGCGCCCGUGGGGCCGGUACGCGGCUGAGAUCCGCGACCCGGCCACCAAGGACCGCCACUGGCUCGGCACCUUUGACACGGCGGAGGAGGCCGCCGUCGCCUACGACCGUGCCGCGCGCUCCCUCCGCGGCGUCCGCGCCCGCACCAACUUCGCCUAUCCCGAUCUUCCCCCGGGCUCGUCCAUCACCCCCUACCUCUCCCCCGACCUCACCUCCGACGACAACGCCGUGCAGCUCCUUCAGCCUUUCUACGCCGACCCCGUCGCGCCCCUGCCGACGCAUCAGCCCUCGGCUGGUGGCGGCGGCCAGGACGUCGGCAGUGAGUACCUCUACGGCGGUGCCCCUGACAUGUCAUCGCUGAUGGACGACAUCGCCAUGCCCGACGACCUGCCCAUGAUCGACGGCGGCGGCGACAUGGACUUCUCCAUGUAUGGCGUCGGCGGCAACGGCGCCAAUGCCUCGGGCGGCGGCGGGUGGUGCGACGCGUCCGAGCUGGGAGCAUACUCCUCCACGCCGGGUGGCGGCCACGGGGUGUACUUCGAGGAAGGGUACGUGCACAGCCCGCUCUUCUCGCCGAUGCCGGCCGCCGAUGACGCCGGUGCCGACGGGUUCCAGCUCGGGGGCUCGUCGUCUUCCUACUACUACUGA